AUGUGGGAAGGCUCAGACAGCCAGGAUGUUGGCUUAGAAGCAGCCAUCAUUUAAAGAAAGCGUAAUAGCUCACUGGUCGAGUCGGCCUGCGCGGAAGAUGUAACGGGGCUAAACUGUGCACCGAAGCUGCGGCAGCGACACUCUGUGUUGUUGGGUAGGGGAGCGUUCUGUAAGCCUGCGAAGGUGUCUCGUGAGGGAUGCUGGAGGUAUCAGAAGUGCGAAUGCUGACAUAAGUAACGAUAAUGCGGGUGAAAAACCCGCACGCCGGAAGACCAAGGGUUCCUGUCCAACGUUAAUCGGGGCAGGGUGAGUCGACCCCUAAGGCGAGGCCGAAAGGCGUAGUCGAUGGGAAACAGGUUAAUAUUCCUGUACUUGGUGUUACUGCGAAGGGGGGACGGAGAAGGCUAUGUUAGCCGGGCGACGGUUGUCCCGGUUUAAGCAUGUAGGCGGGUGUUUUAGGUAAAUCCGGAACGCUACUAACGCUGAGGUGUGAUGACGAGGCACUACGGUGCUGAAG
rnacentral:rRNA from 1 species